rnacentral:rRNA from 1 species
AUUGAACGCUGGCGGCAUGCCUAACACAUGCAAGUCGAACGGCAGCACGGGGCAACCUGGUGGCGAGUGGCGAACGGGUGAGUAAUAUAUCGGAAACGUGCCCAAUCGUGGGGGAUAACGUAGCGAAAGUUACGCUAAUACCGCAUACGAUCUACGGAUGAAAGCGGGGGAUCGCAAGACCUCGCGCGAAUGGAGCGGCCGAUAUCAGAUUAGGUAGUUGGUGGGGUAAAGGCUCACCAAGCCAACGAUCUGUAGCUGGUCUGAGAGGACGAUCAGCCACACUGGAACUGAGACACGGCCCAGACUCCUACGGGAGGCAGCAGUGGGGGAAUUUUGGUACAAUAGGCGGAAAGACCU